UUCUUCUUUUUGUCUCAGUUUUUUUUUUGUCAAUGUCUUCUAUUGGAGUUUUGUGUUUGUUUAAUUUUUCUUGUACAACAUGCAUGCUAGUGUUAUCUGUCCAUGUUGUUCCUCCAUGAUCUGUGUUGUCUUUUGGCAGGAAGUGUGGCAAUUCCUGAAUUGCCUGUGUCUUGUGCAGAGCAAGUUGAUUCCAUCACCAAUCUCCACUUCGUCUUUCCUCCCUCAGCAAUCGCAUCACAAGUUUGAAUGAAACAGCCAGCAGGGAGGGAGGGAGAGAAUGUCAGAAGGGAGGGAGGCUCAUCUGGUUGAAAUUGAAGGCUCUGCGCUUAAUCUCCAUUCAUCUUGGAGCAGCAUAAUUUCUAGAGAAGCCAAUAUCAGAGGAUAAGGGCUAUAACGUUGGCAUGCUGUAGAUGGCGGAGGCGGAGGCAUUGCACACCCCAAUGCAAGAGAACGCCCGGAUACAGAGGAAGGUGACAAAACCAAUAGACCUCAGUUAGCGUUUGGAAGAGCCAGACAAACAAGAUGACAGAAUGCACCAUUUACGAAGACAAGGCCACCAAAACAGGGCUUGCAAAGUUCAAAUUUGGGGAUUGGCAAAGUGUACAGGUUAAAAAAAACAGUUGGCAAAAAUCACCCUAUUUGUUUGCAUGCUUUGUACAAUUGGAGAGCCUGGGAAGACUACAGGGUAUGGUUUUGAGUGACAGCGGUAAUAAAAAAGAGGAGGGAUAAAAAAAAUUACAUUUGCAGGAUUUGCGGGCACAUCAGCGAGAGGUUCUGUCUUAAUCUGAGUGCUCGAGUUUCCUCUUAUUCUUCCUAUCGUCUGCUUACCCUCCUCUGGGAUGCCAAGAGCGGUCCCUAAAUAUUAUGGGGUAGUCGGCCAUACAGACGCAACUUCUGAGAAGGGGCGCUGCUGACGAGACUCGUGCCUCUCCAUUACUCCUCAUCGUCUGGAGUACACGACUGCAAGAGCCAUCGCAUAGUCAAGUUUUAGAAAAUAUUUGUUAAUAUUAAUGUUUGUUUUUAAUAUUACUAGCACAACAUAGUUAGUGUAGUCAUGAUCACAGAUCCAUCACAAUCAAAAGGUGAAGGAAAUCAUGACAUCAAUAUCCAUGAAAGGUUCUUGGAUAUAAGAGCAGUCAAUAAGAGAUUAUGACAAUCUUCAUCAUACAGAGUAGUCACAGAAUUAUUUAAGUGUAGAAAUGUAAAAGAAUUAUACAGCAUGGGUUUAAGCAAGAUGCUGAUCAUUGCAGUAAUUCUCAUUUUACUUUUCAAAUGGGAAUAAUCAACCCACCUUCGCAGGACUGGGCAGGAACUAAGCUGCCCUGCAGCCCUUGUUCCUAUAGGGAAGAAAUGUAAACAUAUUUUAUUUUGUACAUCAACAAGGGGGUGGAGUGUGGUUUGUGCGUCAAUUAGGGGGUGAGAUGCUCUUUAUGACAGUGAC